rnacentral:rRNA from 1 species
UGGGGAAUCUUGGACAAUGGGGGCAACCCUGAUCCAGCCAUGCCGCGUGAGUGAUGAAGGCCUUAGGGUCGUAAAGCUCUUUCGCCUGUGAAGAUAAUGACGGUAGCAGGUAAAGAAACCCCGGCUAACUCCGUGCCAGCAGCCGCGGUAAUACGGAGGGGGUUAGCGUUGUUCGGAAUUACUGGGCGUAAAGCGCACGUAGGCGGACCAGAAAGUUGGGGGUGAAAUCCCGGGGGCUCAACCCCGGAACUGCCUCCAAAACUAUUGGUCUAGAGUUCGAGAGAGGUGAGUGGAAUUCCAAGUGUAGAGGUGAAAUUCGUAGAUAUUUGGAGGAACACCAGUGGCGAAGGCGGCUCACUGGCUCGAUACUGACGCUGAGGUGCGAAAGUGUGGGGAGCAAACAGGAUUAGAUACCCUGGGUAGUCCACACCGUAAAACGAUGUCUGCUAGUCGUUGGGGGCGUAGCCCUUCAGUGA